GACGAACGCUGGCGGCGUGCUUAACACAUGCAAGUCGAACGGAAAGGCCCUGUUUGCAGGGUACUCGAGUGGCGAACGGGUGAGUAACACGUGGGUGAUCUGCCCUGCACUUCGGGAUAAGCCUGGGAAACUGGGUCUAAUACCGGAUAGGAGCCAUUUUUAGUGUGAUGGUUGGAAAGUUUUUUCGGUGUAGGAUGAGCUCGCGGCCUAUCAGCUUGUUGGUGGGGUAAUGGCCUACCAAGGCGGCGACGGGUAGCCGGCCUGAGAGGGUGGACGGCCACAUUGGGACUGAGAUACGGCCCAGACUCCUACGGGAGGCAGCAGUGGGGAAUAUUGCACAAUGGGCGCAAGCCUGAUGCAGCGACGCCGCGUGGGGGAUGACGGCCUUCGGGUUGUAAACUCCUUUCGCUAGGGACGAAGCUUUUUGUGACGGUACCUAGAUAAGAAGCACCGGCUAACUACGUG
rnacentral:rRNA from 1 species